UGGGGUAUAGCCAAGCGGUAAGGCACCAGACUUUGACUCUGGCAUUUUCGCUGGUUCGAAUCCAGCUACCCCAGCCA
rnacentral:tRNA from 1 species